GACGAACGCUGGCGGCGUGCCUAAUACAUGCAAGUAGAACGCUGAAGGAGGAGCUUGCUUCUCCGGAUGAGUUGCGAACGGGUGAGUAACGCGUAGGUAACCUGCCUGGUAGCGGGGGAUAACUAUUGGAAACGAUAGCUAAUACCGCAUAAGAGUAGAUGUCGCAUGACAUUUGCUUAAAAGGUGCAACUGCACCACUACCAGAUGGACCUGCGUUGUAUUAGCUAGUUGGUGAGGUAACGGCUCACCAAGGCAACGAUACAUAGCCGACCUGAGAGGGUGAUCGGCCACACUGGGACUGAGACACGGCCCAGACUCCUACGGGAGGCAGCAGGAGGGAAUCUUCGGCAAUGGACGGAAGUCUGACCGAGCAACGCCGCGGGAGUGAAGAAGGUUUUCGGAUCGGAAAGAUCGGUUGUAAGGGAAGAACGAGUGUGAGAGUGGAAAGUUCACACUGUGACGGUAGCUUACCAGAAAGGGACGGCUAACUACGUG
rnacentral:rRNA from 1 species